CCCAGGGACUACUUUUUUUCGACUCAUCACUUUCCCCAGGCUCCGGUUUCUCCCUCCUCCCCUCCCCCCACCUUUUUUUUUUUUUUUUUUUUUUAACAUUUUGCCACAUCAUGCGACUCGGGGCGACCGACGUCAUUUCCGCAGGCGCUGUAGGCCCCACCCACGCACUUCCAGGUGCACGUGAUGCGGGCUUACUGUUAAAAGAUUUGAACUCUUGGCUUCCUGCUGCUGCAAUGCCUGCCACUUGUCAUGCUUCUGUCCUGACAUAGACAUUUAUACCUCUGAAACUCAGCACAUACGUGGGGGUCAGAAGACAACUUGCAGGAAAAUGGAUCUCCUCUUCUACCCUGUGGGUUCCAGUGAUCAAACUCAGGUACAACUGGAGUGAUGUUGUCAAUACAACAGCAAUUGUGCUGUCCACCGCAAUAAACAGCAGGAGAGCUGACACAAUGUCUUGUUUCCAUUUGAAGCUUUGCUUCUGCCUCCGAGGCCUGAAUGAUUUAAAAACACAACCAACAACAACAACAACAACAAAAACCUUGUGGAUUUCCUCUCUGAGAAAGAGACAGAGAUACAGAGACAGAGAGAGAAAAAGAACUGUGAGAGAACAAGAACUUGAG